GAGAGUAUCCACAUACUUUGCAAGCUUGUGAAAGGCGAUUCUAUUGAUUUUGAAAAGGAAGCAGAUAAGUGGGAUAUGGUACCCACAGAGGAGCACAUUGAUAGAUUGGCUCCACUGGUUGCAAAUAACUCACUUCCGUUCCUGAUAGAACUUGGAAUGGAGUUUCAGACCUGGGAACAGAUCGCCCACAGGCAAAAUGAACGAGAUUUGGUCAGACUUAACAAGGACAUUUUAGAAGAAUGGAGAUUACAGUUUUGCAAAAUGCACAGUUUGAAACGAACUUUGAGAAAUAUCGCAAAUGCAUUCAUUAACAUUGGUAGAAAUGUACAAAUAGUUGAGAAAACUUUAUCAGAUUUGUUCUGACUUCUUUUUAUUCAAGAACAGUUU